rnacentral:tRNA from 1 species
GCGCCUGUAGCUCAGGGGAUAGAGCAGGGGCUUCCUAAGCCUCGUGGCGGGGGUUCGAAUCCUCCCAGGCGCACCA